GAACGCUGGCGGCGUGCCUAAUACAUGCAAGUCGAGCGAACAGAUGAGAAGCUUGCUUCUCUGAUGUUAGCGGCGGACGGGUGAGUAACACGUGGGUAACCUACCUAUAAGACUGGGAUAACUCCGGGAAACCGGGGCUAAUACCUGAUAAUAUUUUGAACCGCAUGGUUCGAUAGUGAAAGGCGGCUUCGGCUGUCACUUAUAGAUGGACCCGCGCCGUAUUAGCUAGUUGGUAAGGUAAUGGCUUACCAAGGCGACGAUACGUAGCCGACCUGAGAGGGUGAUCGGCCACACUGGAACUGAGACACGGUCCAGACUCCUACGGGAGGCAGCAGUAGGGAAUCUUCCGCAAUGGGCGAAAGCCUGACGGAGCAACGCCGCGUGAGUGAUGAAGGUUUUCGGAUCGUAAAACUCUGUUGUUAGGGAAGAACAAAUUUGUUAGUAACUGAACAAGUCUUGACGGUACCUAACCAGAAAGCCACGGCUAACUACGUGCCAGCAGCCGCGGUAAUACGUAGGUGGCAAGCGUUAUCCGGAAUUAUUGGGCGUAAAGCGCGCGUAGGCGGUUUCUUAAGUCUGAUGUGAAAGCCCACGGCUCAACCGUGGAGGGUCAUUGGAAACUGGGGAACUUGAGUGCANAAGAGGAGAGUGGAAUUCCAUGUGUAGCGGUGAAAUGCGCAGAGAUAUGGAGGAACACCAGUGGCGAA
rnacentral:rRNA from 1 species